rnacentral:tRNA from 1 species
GGAGAGGUGGCUGAGUGGUCGAAAGCGCUGGUCUCGAAAACCAGUGUACCUCCGGGUACCCAGGGUUCGAAUCCCUGCCUCUCCG